UGUAGGUGGACAUAAUAACCUUUAUUUUAUUUUUAUGUGGUGCCGAGGAUCGAACCCCAUGCCUCACGCAUGCUAGGCGAGAGCUCUCCCACUGAGCGACAACCCCAGCCCCUACAUGUUAUUUUUAUCCUGUACUGACUUUUAAUAAACAUCACCAGUUGUAGUAAAAUCUUUCAUGAUUUCUACAGAUGUGGGGAGCAUACAUAAAACAACUGGUGUUUCCAUCAUUACUAAUUGAGUGAUACAGACAGCAUGAAUUCAAGGGGCAUUGCAAGAACAAGAUGUGCAGUAAUAGUUGUAAGACCAUCACUGAGAAUUUUUCUUCACAGAUUGAAUGAUGGGUAUUUUAUAUAAGGAGAAGACAGUAAGCAGGAAGUCUUAAUAAAGCCCACAUAGGUAACAGGCCUAAUUGGUUUAAUGAACAGGCCCAAACGAUUUUCUAUUAAAGAUUUCAGUGUAAAAGUGAGAGAAAGAACUGAAGAGUUAGGUUGAGAAUGAAUAUUGGAAUUCUUUUUUUUUUUUUUUAAAUAUGGUGCUAGGGAUUGAACCCAGGGCCUUGUGCAUUCCAGGCAAGCACUCUACCAACUGAACUAUAUCCCCAGCCCUGAAUUUUGGAAUUAUGAGGCUACUGUAAGAAAUCAGGAUGGGUUUAUAUGCAUAUUUAUGAGCUAUUAAAAUACUUAUCAGGGGAGGUAACCCAGUGGCAGAGUGCUUGCCAGCAUGCACAGGGCCCUGGGUUCAACCCCAGCACUGCAUCCCGCCCCCUGUCAGAAAAACCCAAAAAACAAAACCCCU
rnacentral:lncRNA from 1 species